GCGCAGCUAUACUGCAGUCGAGCGGACUUAAAAAGCUUGCUUUUUAAGUUAGCGGCGGACGGGUGAGUAACACGUGGGCAACCUGCCUGUAAGACUGGGAUAACUUCGGGAAACCGGACCUAAUACCGGAUCAUCCUUUUCUACUCAUGUAGAAAAGCUGAAAGACGGUUUACGCUGACACUUACAGAUGGGCCCGCGGCGCAUUAGCUAGUUGGUGAGGUAACGGCUCACCAAGGCGACGAUGCGUAGCCGACCUGAGAGGGUGAUCGGCCACACUGGGACUGAGACACGGCCCAGACUCCUACGGGAGGCAGCAGUAGGGAAUCUUCCGCAAUGGACGAAAGUCUGACGGAGCAACGCCGCGUGAGUGAUGAAGGUUUUCGGAUCGUAAAACUCUGUUGUUAGGGAAGAACAAGUACGAGAGUAACUGCUCGUACCUUGACGGGACCUAACCAGAAAGCCACGGCUAACUACGUGCCAGCAGCCGCGGUAAUACGUAGGUGGCAAGCGUUGUCCGGAAUUAUUGGGCGUAAAGCGCGCGCAGGCGGUCCUUUAAGUCUGAUAUGAAA
rnacentral:rRNA from 2 species